rnacentral:rRNA from 1 species
UACGUAGGUGGCAAGCGUUGUCCGGAUUUACUGGGCGUAAAGAGCGCGCAGGCGGUCGAAUAAGUCGAAUGUGAAAGCCCCCGGCUUAACUGGGGAGGGUCAUUCGAUACUGCUCGACUUGAAGGCAGGAGAGGGUAGUGGAAUUCCCGGUGUAGUGGUGAAAUGCGUAGAUAUCGGGAGGAACACCAGUGGCGAAGGCGGGUCUCUGGGCAGUAACUGACGCUGAGGAGCGAAAGCGUGGGGAGCGAACAGG